UGCCGAUGUUAAGGAAUGGGCUGGGGGCCCUAAUGCAGUUACCGUGUGAGCCUUGCCAGCCCCCAAGAGAGGCCAGUGCCGUGGAAGUGCUUGCACAGGUCAGAAGGACGGCGAGACUUGAAGGUGCCAGUCCAUACACUAAAUUAAGAAGUCAUCUCUGAUUCUCUGCAGGACCAGUUGUGAUCAUUCAUAUUUGGAUAUCUUACUUACUACAUAUUGAGCUGUGGCUUUUAAUUUCGGGAAGCAACAGUGGUAACAACAGUAUCAAUUUGAUAUUAUCUGUUAAAUGACAGACAUUGUGCUUGGAAUUCUACAAACCUUUUCUCUAACCCUCGUAAUAACAUUAUGUGGUAGGAGGCAACCUCUAAAUCCUUGUAAUUUCCUGCCAGGAGCAUCUCUAUUAGUCAUGGUGGGCUCCUUAGGCCACGUGAUGUCAGACUGACUUCUGGGAUGUAUGUGGGCUGGAGAUUGAGCUAAACCAUGCAGGUAAUUAUUCAAUCAAUCAUGCCUACAUAUUAAACCCCCAUAAAAACUCUGGACAUGGAAGUUUGGGUGAGCUUCCUUAGCUGGGAGUACUCUUAGAGUACUGUCAUAAAUAGGUGCUAGAAGAGUAAUGCAUCUCUGAGGAUGGAGAAAGCUUUGCAUCUGGAGCCCUUCCAGG